AGUGACGACCUACGGCGAAAUAUAUCGCAACUGAUGACUGGGAGACACACCGAUCAACCGAAAGUAAACGAGCAAGUGCGAGUAAGCACACUCAAACGUUAUACAUUACAGUUAAGAUCAACGACAAGAAUGAAAAAGCAGAAACCUCUGGCGUACGCGUCUUUCCCACAUAUGAGGGAGUUACACCAACCCCUCGUUUUCAAAGCUGAUAACAAGGAUCCUUCUCCUUCGUGUCCCAGCAAGUGGCUAACGUAAUAUGACGGCUGCAACACAAGAGACGAGUAUAGUGAGAUAAAGAUCGGGUAUAGGAAAUGUAAUAUGGAGAUUCCUCGUAUCCUUUAUUGGAACAAUGUUCCAUUUAGUACGAAAAUGUUCAUCGUCAAACGGAUGCUCGCGCCACACUGGGAUAUCGAUUUCCUUGUUUCGCACCUCACUAAAGAGAUUUACC